UUUUGAAUCAAACCCUACUCUGUUGUCUGUUGUGGUUCUCUCUCCGCCUCCCUCAGCUCUCCGCCUUCCUCAGGGCCUCAGUUAUCUCUGUAUGGAAAAUAUUGGAGCAACUUUCACUUGGAGUUUGGAAAUGGAAGCUCUUUUGUAAUUACUUUAGCUUGUAAUUCUGAUGUUCAAUGAUCUGGAGAUAUCUUAGCAAGUUUUUCAUUCUUUAAUUUAGGUGAUGCGAUUUCCACAUUAAUUGUUUGGUCAAAAGUUGAGUUAAUGAAGUUGUACAUAGAGUUUUUCAAUGCUUUAUCUGGGAUUUGUUGGGUAUUGGAUCUUAUAAACAGUGAAAACAAGGCUGACUAGUUCUUUCUUUGGUGGGAGUGCUAUUGUUGGUUCUGUUGAAAGUUGCAUAUGAGAGAAUAUUGGGAACUAUUGAGGAUUUGAGAACUGUUAAA